rnacentral:tRNA from 1 species
GCAUCGAUGGUUCAGUGGUAGAAUACUCGCCUGCCACGCGGGCGGCCCGGGUUCGAUUCCCGGUCGAUGCA